AGAGUUUGAUCCUGGCUCAGAUUGAACGCUGGCGGCAUGCCUUACACAUGCAAGUCGAACGGCAGCACGGGUGCUUGCACCUGGUGGCGAGUGGCGAACGGGUGAGUAAUAUAUCGGAACGUACCUUAAUCGUGGGGGAUAACGCAGCGAAAGCUGCGCUAAUACCGCAUACGCCCUGAGGGGGAAAGCGGGGGACCGUAAGGCCUCGCGCGAUUAGAGCGGCCGAUAUCUGAUUAGCUUGUUGGUGGGGUAAAAGCCCACCAAGGCGACGAUCAGUAGCUGGUCUGAGAGGACGAUCAGCCACACUGGGACUGAGACACGGCCCAGACUCCUACGGGAGGCAGCAGUGGGGAAUUUUGGACAAUGGGGGCAACCCUGAUCCAGCAAUGCCGCGUGAGUGAAGAAGGCCUUCGGGUUGUAAAGCUCUUUUGUCAGGGAAGAAACAGCAGCUCUAACACAGUCUGCGAAUGACGGUACCUGAAGAAUAAGCACCGGCUAACUACGUGCCAGCAGCCGCGGUAAUACGUANGGUGCAAGCG
rnacentral:rRNA from 1 species